AACAUGCAGUUGUCUGUGGAGUACUUCUUGUCUUGGAAGCACCCUUUGAUUUUACAUCUUGUGACAUUCCAAUCAUACGGAGAUGGUGGACUCCAGAUGGUUUUCUCUGAAAGUGCAGAAACCCUACCAGAGGCCCUUCCAAUUGGAUAACAGGCUACGCUUGUGAGGUAUGUCUCAAAUAUAUCCAUCUAUAUACACACACAUUCAUAAGAAAUAUUAAAGUUAAAUU